rnacentral:lncRNA from 1 species
UAGUCAUAAGAAGGCUCCCCCAAGGAAAAGGAGUCCUCUUCAUCUGCAAAAUUCUCAAGAAAAGAUUUUAAUCUGUGUCCAUUUACCUUAAAAAUUUUGCCAUCCUAUGGAUUCUCAAUUUCAACUACCCCGUGUGGAAAAACAGUUUUUACAAUGAAAGGACCUGUCCAUCUUGAUCGUAACUUUCCAGGAAACAGAUGUAAGCGAGAGUCAUAACAAAGAACUUUUUGUG